UGCUCGAGCCUUCUUGGCCUUCGGUAAAUUAUGUCCACUUGAGAUCAAGGUUCGAACUUGUUAAAUGUGCAACAGAUUUCGUAUAUCCUUUCCAAACUCACGCAAUAUGGCACGUACUUUUUGCGCUUGAGUAAAUCCUUUUUUUGUAUUUUAAAUAGGAUUUUCGACUGAUUCAAAUAUUUCAAAACUGUCUUCACUUUACAAGGGUACCAAUGUAUUUUUCUCCCUUGUUUGGAAUUGCCGAUCCGGCGUUGACAAAUGAUGAGCCUGUUUUAUUCCGUCAAUUUCAAAUGACACCUGAGAUAAUCUUAGAUCUUGAGAACGAUGCAAUACUGGUUCUCACACUUUAUACUUCAGUGGGUGGAUGAAUAAUCAGCCACGUUUAGUCUCCAAAGCUAAUUAUCGCUGAGGCAAUUCUUAUUGCAUUUCGGUGUCGCAACUGGAAAAGCCUCAUUGAACACUUCUCAGAAACACGAGGCAAAAUCCGGAAAUUCCACCGCCUUCAAACAUAUCGGUUUUAGCCAAAAUUGAAAGUCUAAAACAUCCAACCAAGUACAUUUUUUGGCAUAAAAGAUCGUCUAUUGGCCCAUGUUCAGGCAGGGCUAUAAAAUCCAAUCAAGAACCCUUUUUCGUCUCGUUCCACAAAGCAGUUGAAUCAUAAUGAUUUGAUCUCCCGUGAUCUUCGAGGCAUAACUUUCUGUGCUCUAGAGUACGCCCUCAGACGGACCUGAGUGAUAACUUCGCCAGGCUCACUCUCAUCUACAUAUCAAGUGAAAUUGUGGAAGUUGCCCAGCGGCCUCAGGCCUAAUCUGUGCCAUGAAUUAAGAGUACAUUGUACGCGAAAAGGUACAAGAAGGCACGUUCCACAAAAUAAAACAAGAUCCUGCGCGAAGAAGGCGAUGAAAUACAGAUGACGAGAUUCAAGGCAGAACCCUUGGAAUAAAGAACCAGUGAUUAUCUUGGGAAAUCAUCUUGAAGGGCUGAAUUUGGUUGUAGGAACUAGGCCUGAAGCAGGCCCACCAGGGAGAUUGUACGAGUAUUAAACACUAUAUCAUGAGAUUUGCUCGCAAAAAUGCAUUCCAAGCCCGACUAUUAUGAAGUGCCGCUCUCAUUCGUUGGAGACUCGUGUGGAUUUUUUUUUUAAAGAAGACCCGGAACGGUUGUUCAAGAUGUGGAGAAGGAUCGGUGUUUCUCUCUCUCUCAUUUGCCAUUGCUUCUAAUAACUAUGGUUUUUCAGUCGCAAGUGCUCUUCAGGAAAUAAAUGAGCUCAUUAGGAA